UACGUAGGUGGCAAGCGUUGUCCGGAAUUAUUGGGCGUAAAGCGCGCGCAGGCGGUUCCUUAAGUCUGAUGUGAAAGCCCACGGCUCAACCGUGGAGGGUCAUUGGAAACUGGGGAACUUGAGUGCAGAAGAGGAGAGCGGAAUUCCACGUGUAGCGGUGAAAUGCGUAGAGAUGUGGAGGAACACCAGUGGCGAAGGCGGCUCUCUGGUCUGUAACUGACGCUGAGGCGCGAAGGCGGGGGGAGCGAACAGGAUUAGAAACC
rnacentral:rRNA from 1 species